GAGAUUUUUAGGUGUAUGAGUAUAAAUAUACACAAACCUAAUCCGAACUACAACAGGCUACGAGAAGGGACAAAAUGGAAAUGAAAUAAGUUAAUUGUUACGCUUCCCUUAAGUGUAUAAUAGUACUUGAUUAAAUGUACGGCUCUACUCGUUUUGUGUAAGAUUUCCCAGGACGCCAAAAAGUAGAUGCCCUCCUUAAGAAAGCAUCAAGUCCUAACACACCCCCUUCCUUUAUUAUAUAAUUUACUUAUUAACUUAAUCUCGUUAUACUCAAUUCAAUAUUCAUAUAUCUAAACAUAUAUUUCAAUUUAGUAUUCAAUUUUUUUUUAGGCAAGUUUGAACCGUAGCAAUUGGAUUCUCAAUCCGUUAGAUUACCCACUACGCUAGAAAGUGGGUGCCGCCACCCUGCAACUUUUAUAAAACAAUUUAGAAUUGCAUUCAAGGGGCUUACUGAUGGAAUGAACUUUGGUUAACGUACAGGAGAGUUAUAGGCUAGUCGGUUCAAUCAUGAAAAUUAUAGAUGACAAUUUGCUUUAGUUUCUCAUAAUGCUUUGGAUUCUGCACGUUUUUAUGACAGGUGGAUUAUCUACUGAAUUUCGUUCAGCAUCGUCUACGCCCAUAACUUCCUUAAAAAGAGCUCUCAACCAUAUUGUCUCUUUAUUGUUAUACCAACAGUUAUAAGUACGGCAUAGGUGGAGAGGACCGUAUGUUUUUGUAAGACUGACUGCACGUAAACCGAAUGACCUCUAGAAUGAUCUUAACGGUUCUUGGUGCCAUCUAAAUAUCUUACAACUUAUUUAGUAAAAUACAAUUUGCUCUCGAAGGUCUCUUUGCUUUCCUUAAUGACGUCCCCACUGCAAACAACAAAGAGUCUGACCUGGAUAUAGGGAGAACAAGGAGAAGGCUAGAACAACAAGAACGGGAGAUGCACUUAUCAUAGGCAAUCAAGCAACUUUUGUAAACCUUUAUAA